rfam:Mesocricetus auratus contig023768, whole genome shotgun sequence.
GCAAAGGCUCUUUUCAGAGCCACCCAUGCUAUCUUUUAGAAUGGUU